rnacentral:lncRNA from 1 species
UGUAUGUUUGGGUGGCAUUCGAAUGGCCGAUGCGGGUUUAGGACUGUUUUUCGGCUUUUUGCCAAAGUGUUGGCGAGUUUUGCAAACUGGACGAUAACUUGGAUUCCGUAUGUCGGAAUCUAGUCCCAUAAGUUCAAACACGUGUCUAAUACCUACACGGUGCUAAGUAUGUGUUUGCGUGGCAUUUGGACGGCCGAUGCGGGUUUAGGGCUGUUUUUUG